rnacentral:snoRNA from 1 species
ACGGCAUGUUGUUAGAACCUGGAGAGGAGGCCAUGUCUGGCUGAUGACCUUCGAGUGUAGGAAAUAUGCCAGAGAAAGUGCAGGAGUUUCUCUUGACGCAUUCGCCCGGCUCCCAGCCCCUGGCUUUUGCUCGUACGAAUCCCUGCUACAUAC